rnacentral:rRNA from 1 species
AGUGAACGCUGGCGGUAGGCCUAACACAUGCAAGUCGAACGGCAGCACAGUAAGAGCUUGCUCUUACGGGUGGCGAGUGGCGGACGGGUGAGGAAUACAUCGGAAUCUACUUUUUCGUGGGGGAUAACGUAGGGAAACUUACGCUAAUACCGCAUACGACCUACGGGUGAAAGCAGGGGAUCUUCGGACCUUGCGCGAUUGAAUGAGCCGAUGUCGGAUUAGCUAGUUGGCGGGGUAAAGGCCCACCAAGGCGACGAUCCGUAGCUGGUCUGAGAGGAUGAUCAGCCACACUGGAAUUGAGACACGGUCCAGACUCCUACGGGAGGCAGCAGUGGGGAAUAUUGGACAAUGGGCGCAAGCCUGAUCCAGCCAUACCGCGUGGGUGAAGAAGGCCUUCGGGUUGUAAAGCCCUUUUGUUGGGAAAGAAAAGCAGCAGGUUAAUACCCCGCUGUCAUGACGGUACCCAAAGAAUAAGCACCGGCUAACUUCGUG